AGUAUUACGACGCGUACGGUGCCAGGCGCUGGUUUCGAAAAGUGCGUCGGUUUUUUGAAAACAAACUUUCGAUUUUACGUGACCGUUAAAACGACAGUUACAAUUUUUUUUUUAUAGAAAAUUUAGUGAUUCGUUUUAUGGUGUUUUUGUUUGUGAGUGUAUCUGUGACAAACAAUAUUGAUAUUUGGAUGUUUUUGUAUAGUGUGCGUUCAUGGAUGUUCUAACGAAUAUGAAAAACCAGUGAUUUGUUCGAUUUUUCAAAUUCUAUUGGAUUACAUCGUAAAUUCGGUGCAUUUUUAUCAGUUUUUUCGAGUUUUCACCAUGAUCGGACAGGAAUAAUUGAUAGGUGAGUCACAAAUAGAACAAAUCAAAUAAUUCAAUAUUAAAAUCGAGCUUCACUGUCUUUUUUGUUUAUUUCCAUGAAAUAUGUCGAGAUUUGCAUUGUUUUCGAAGUGUUUCCAAUUUUCAAAUUAUCUCGUUCGAAUGUUUCAUAGAACUUAAUUAUGUUUUAUGAGAAUUUUUUUGAAUAACAACACUUUCUUAUAAUGCAUAUAUAUUUUCGUUCAAAAAUUCCAUAUGGAAUUGAUAAAAAAUCUUCAAAUUUUGAUGAAAACACUCCCUCUGUUUAACACUCACAUUUCCUGAGUUGACAGUGAAAUCAUUCAAAUGCUAGUACGAGAAAUGUCAGUCACAACAUCUUCAUAAUUCCAAGUUUUUUUUUAUUUCCCGAAAACUCUUCGACAACAUUUUUGAAUAACUUACAAGAAGCUUUUUCAUUGACCGACUUUCAAACUGAUCUUACGUAUCUGAGUGCCAACAAAUGUUUCCAGUUUCAGUUUCUACUCAUUUGAACAUAAUAACUAGACAUGAGUCACUCUUGAGUCACUAUAAAUUAACAGACGGUACUAUUAGCUAGAAACUUGUAGCGCCCUCUGUGAAAUCCAUCGUUCCUGAGAUACAACUUCACAUAAUACAGGAUGUUCUACCGGAAGUCGACUGUGACUUUUUUACUUUAAAUAGAACGUAAUCUACGUAAAAUUUUAGUAUACUUUUGUCUAAAAACUUUUUUUGAAAAAUGCAUACUUUUCGAGUUAUUAAUUUUUUUGUAAAAAAUUUGACAGUUGCAGAUCCUUAUAAAUUAUUUUUUUACGAGGACACCCUUAACGAUAUGAAAAUGGUUUCUGUUCGAUUACUUUUAGCAAGGUCAGAUGUAUUUGAUUCUUUGUUGAAAAAUUUUUCAUUCUAUACAGUGUGUGUAUAAAAAGUGUUGAAAGUUUAACUUCAUAAAUAUCAAAUUUCUUUUUUUUUUAAAUAGAACUACUCGGUUUUUUAUAUUUUAAUAUAUUUAGAGGUAAAAAAUAAGGCAAAUUCAUGUAUACUUUCCUGCAUUACAAUAGAAAAUGUGAUUCUAUUAAAAAAAAUGAAGAAAUUUGAUAUUUAUGAAGGUAAACUUUGAACAAUUUCUAAACACAUCCUGU